GGUGAUGACACACACAAAAAAAAAAAUGAAAAACAAAAAACAAAAUUAAAAAAUAUAAAAAAAAACACACAUCAUUGUAAAAUCAAUACAUUCAUCGUUUUAAUGAAGUUCAUACAAACUGAACCUUUGAAGGACAUAAAAAAAGUGUGUGCGUUACCAGUAGGUACGCGCGCGGGAAGUGAAACUUCUUUUGGACGGUACACGCGUGAGUCAGUGAAAAAAAAAGAAAGGCAUGGAUAGACUGGGAUAAUGAGGAUAAUAACGAAAAAAAAGAAACAAUAUAAAUUAUAUUUUUUAGAUUUUUUUUUAUUUUUUUAUUCUAAUGAUUGAUUAUCAUUUUGCUCAAUCGGUAUAGUAGUUAUGACUUAUGAUUGGCAUAUGAUAACUGAAAUACGAAACGCAUAAAUUAAUUAACUACCUAUAUAAGACUUUGUUUUCUAAAAAUGCCACAUUCAAAAUGAAAUUUUCAAUCGCUGUUAUUUAUAAAUCUCCAUGUUAGAAUUGAAUAUAAGGUGUAUCGUAUAACCCAGAAAUUAAAUAACUUUCAUAUAAAAAGCAAACCAAAUAAUCGUGGUAUUAUUAUUUAAUACGCACUUAUAAAGAUACACAUUAUAGUAAAUAUUUUUAAUAUCAACCUUACAUCAGAAUUCAUACAUUUCAUAUUGAAUCUAUUAGUCUUAUUAUGUAACAUUUUUAUAUAGCUUUAAUUAUGCAGACUACAUAAUUGAUAAAUAUUUUUAAUUUGUUUUCAUAUGUUUAACAGUAUUGUUAAGCCAUUUAAUAUAUGUAUACAUUAAUCACGCAUAAACCUUUUUUAUUUUAAUAUAAACUAGAACUCGAAAAAAUGUUAAUGGACGGUAAAUUACAAAGACAGCAAGGUAACUUAAAUGUCUAUAAUUUGUUUGCAUACGUUUAACAGUAUUGUUAAGUCAAAAUAUAUAUAGAUUAAUCACGCAUAAACCUUUAUUGUAUUUAAUAAUAAAUUAUCUCGUGAAAAAGGUA